rnacentral:rRNA from 1 species
UUAAGCGACUAAGCGUACACGGUGGAUGCCCUGGCAGUCAGAGGCGAUGAAGGACGUGCUAAUCUGCGAAAAGCGUCGGUAAGGUGAUAUGAACCGUUAUAACCGGCGAUGUCCGAAUGGGGAAACCCAGUGUGAUUCGUCACACUAUCGUUAACUGAAUACAUAGGUUAACGAGGCGAACCGGGGGAACUGAAACAUCUAAGUACCCCGAGGAAAAGAAAUCAACCGAGAUUCCCCCAGUAGCGGCGAGCGAACGGGGAGCAGCCCAGAGUCUGAAUCAGCUUGUGUGUUAGUGGAACGGUCUGGAAAGUCCGACGGUACAGGGUGAUAGUCCCGUACACCAAAAUGCACAGGCUGUGAACUCGAAGAGUAGGGCGGGACACGUGGUAUCCUGUCUGAAUAUGGGGGGACCAUCCUCCAAGGCUAAAUACUCCUGACUGACCGAUAGUGAACCAGUACCGUGAGGGAAAGGCGAAAAGAACCCCGGCGAGGGGAGUGAAAAAGAACCUGAAACCGUGUACGUACAAGCAGUGGGAGCACCUUCGGGUGUGACUGCGUACCUUUUGUAUAAUGGGUCAGCGACUUAUAUUCUGUAGCAAGGUUAACCGUAUAGGGGAGCCGCAGGGAAACCGAGUCUUAACUGGGCGUUAAGUUGCAGGGUAUAGACCCGAAACCCGGUGAUCUAGCCAUGGGCAGGUUGAAGGUUGGGUAACACUAACUGGAGGACCGAACCGACUAAUGUUGAAAAAUUAGCGGAUGACUUGUGGCUGGGGGUGAAAGGCCAAUCAAACCGGGAGAUAGCUGGUUCUCCCCGAAAGCUAUUUAGGUAGCGCCUCGUGAACUCAUCUUCGGGGGUAGAGCACUGUUUCGGCUAGGGGGUCAUCCCGACUUACCAACCCGAUGCAAACUACGAAUACCGAAGAAUGUUAUCACGGGAGACACACGGCGGGUGCUAACGUCCGUCGUGAAGAGGGAAACAACCCAGACCGCCAGCUAAGGUCCCAAAGUCAUGGUUAAGUGGGAAACGAUGUGGGAAGGCACAGACAGCCAGGAUGUUGGCUUAGAAGCAGCCAUCAUUUAAAGAAAGCGUAAUAGCUCACUGGUCGAGUCGGCCUGCGCGGAAGAUGUAACGGGGCUAAACCAUGCACCGAAGCUGCGGCAGCGACACUAUGUGUUGUUGGGUAGGGGAGCGUUCUGUAAGCCUGCGAAGGUGNNNNNNNNNNNNNNNNNNNNNNNNNNNNNNNNNNNNNNNNNNNNNNNNNUGCUGGAGGUAUCAGAAGUGCGAAUGCUGACAUAAGUAACGAUAAAGCGGGUGAAAAGCCCGCUCGCCGGAAGACCAAGGGUUCCUGUCCAACGUUAAUCGGGGCAGGGUGAGUCGACCCCUAAGGCGAGGCCGAAAGGCGUAGUCGAUGGGAAACAGGUUAAUAUUCCUGUACUUGGUGUUACUGCGAAGGGGGGACGGAGAAGGCUAUGUUAGCCGGGCGACGGUUGUCCCGGUUUAAGCAUGUAGGCUGAUUGUCCAGGCAAAUCCGGAUAAUCAAGGCUGAGGUGUGAUGACGAGGCACUACGGUGCUGAAGUAACAAAUGCCCUGCUUCCAGGAAAAGCCUCUAAGCAUCAGGUAACAUCAAAUCGUACCCCAAACCGACACAGGUGGUCAGGUAGAGAAUACCAAGGCGCUUGAGAGAACUCGGGUGAAGGAACUAGGCAAAAUGGUGCCGUAACUUCGGGAGAAGGCACGCUGGUGUGUAGGUGAAGUCCCUGCGGAUGGAGCUGAGACCAGUCGAAGAUACCAGCUGGCUGCAACUGUUUAUUAAAAACACAGCACUGUGCAAACACGAAAGUGGACGUAUACGGUGUGACGCCUGCCCGGUGCCGGAAGGUUAAUUGAUGGGGUUAUCCGUAAGGAGAAGCUCUUGAUCGAAGCCCCGGUAAACGGCGGCCGUAACUAUAACGGUCCUAAGGUAGCGAAAUUCCUUGUCGGGUAAGUUCCGACCUGCACGAAUGGCGUAAUGAUGGCCAGGCUGUCUCCACCCGAGACUCAGUGAAAUUGAACUCGCUGUGAAGAUGCAGUGUACCCGCGGCAAGACGGAAAGACCCCGUGAACCUUUACUAUAGCUUGACACUGAACAUUGAGCCUUGAUGUGUAGGAUAGGUGGGAGGCUUUGAAGCGUGGACGCCAGUCUGCGUGGAGCCAACCUUGAAAUACCACCCUUUAAUGUUUGAUGUUCUAACGUUGGCCCCUUACCGGGGUUGCGGACAGUGUCUGGUGGGUAGUUUGACUGGGGCGGUCUCCUCCCAAAGCGUAACGGAGGAGCACGAAGGUUAGCUAAUCCUGGUCGGACAUCAGGAGGUUAGUGCAAUGGCAUAAGCUAGCUUGACUGCGAGCGUGACGGCGCGAGCAGGUGCGAAAGCAGGUCAUAGUGAUCCGGUGGUUCUGAAUGGAAGGGCCAUCGCUCAACGGAUAAAAGGUACUCCGGGGAUAACAGGCUGAUACCGCCCAAGAGUUCAUAUCGACGGCGGUGUUUGGCACCUCGAUGUCGGCUCAUCACAUCCUGGGGCUGAAGUAGGUCCCAAGGGUAUGGCUGUUCGCCAUUUAAAGUGGUACGCGAGCUGGGUUUAGAACGUCGUGAGACAGUUCGGUCCCUAUCUGCCGUGGGCGCUGGAGAAUUGAGGGGGGCUGCUCCUAGUACGAGAGGACCGGAGUGGACGCAUCACUGGUGUUCGGGUUGUCAUGCCAAUGGCACUGCCCGGUAGCUAAAUGCGGAAGAGAUAAGUGCUGAAAGCAUCUAAGCACGAAACUUGCCCCGAGAUGAGUUCUCCCUGAGACUUUAAGUCUCCUGAAGGAACGUUGAAGACGACGACGUUGAUAGGCCGGGUGUGUAAGCGCAGCGAUGCGUUGAGCUAACCGGUACUAAUGAACCGUGAGGCUUAACCUU